rnacentral:rRNA from 1 species
UACGUAGGUGGCGAGCGUUGUCCGGAAUUACUGGGCGUAAAGGGCGUGUAGGCGGCCUUUUAAGUCAGACGUGAAAUCCCUGGGCUUAACCCAGGAACUGCGUUUGAAACUGGAGGGCUUGAGGACCGGAGAGGGCAGUGGAAUUCCCAGUGUAGCGGUGAAAUGCGUAGAUAUUGGGAGGAACACCAGUGGCGAAGGCGACUGCCUGGACGGCACCUGACGCUGAGGCGCGAAAGCUAGGGGAGCGAACGGGAUUAGAUACCCCGGUAGUCCUAGCCGUAAACGAUGGGUACUAGGUGUGGGAGGUAUCGACCCCUUCCGUGCCGCAGUUAACACAAUAAGUACCCCGCCUGGGGAGUACGGCCGCAAGGUUGAA